UCCAGACUCCUACGGGAGGCAGCAGUGAGGAAUAUUGGUCAAUGGCCGGAAGGCUGAACCAGCCAAGCCGCGUGAAGGACGAAGGUGCCAAGCAUUGUAAACUUCUUUUGUCAAGGGACAAAAUCAGGCUCGAGAGCCUGACCGAGGGUACUUGAAGAAAAAGCAUCGGCUAACUCCGUGCCAGCAGCCGCGGUAAUACGGAGGAUGCGAGCGUUAUCCGGAUUUAUUGGGUUUAAAGGGUGCGUAGGCGGAACAUUAAGUCAGCGGUAAAAUCGAGGGGCUCAACCCCUUUAAGCCGUUGAAACUGGUGAUCUUUAGUGGGCGAGAAGUAUGCGGAAUGCGUGGUGUAGCGGUGAAAUGCAUAGAUAUCACGCAGAACUCCGAUUGCGAAGGCAGCAUACCGGCGCCCGACUGACGCUGAGGCAUGAAAGCGUGGGGAUCGAACAGGAUUAGAUACCCGUGUAU
rnacentral:rRNA from 1 species